rnacentral:lncRNA from 1 species
ACUAAGGUAUGUGUGUGGCAUGUUGUGAAUAAUGCAUAUUUUCCUAAGUUUGGAAAAUUUACAUUGGAUUUAAGGUUGUAUGUAUUUUGUGUGGUUAGGGACUUAAGAAAAUUGGAUUGUGAUGUUUUAGUUGGACCACACACGGGACACCUCCUCCCUCUCUUCCCCGUGCCCUCUCUCUCUCUUCCCUCUCAGUUCACUCUCUCUCUCUCUGUCUCUCAAAACCGUACGGACAAAACCAAGGACCCUCAAAUCUUCACAGAUCGAAGGUUCUAAGGUAAGAAUCGAACUCCUCUUGAGUCCCUGAGUUCAAAUAUACUAAUUUUAGAACUUAAAACCUUCGAUAUCAUCAUGAAAUCAUAACUCCGAAAAUGGGCACUGUUCAUGCACACGUAAAAUAUUGUGUUUCAGGGAAUUUCAAGCUCACAAUGAGCUUAAGGAGGUCCUCACGAGCUUCGGGGUACGUCGUUGGUAAGAUUUGGACGUCGGAGGACUGAGAACGGAACUUUUCAAUUUUGGCCGGAACUUUCGAAGCUUUUUCUGGUGAAUCCCCGGCGAGUUAGGGGUCGAGCAGGUAUGGAUGUGUUCAUCUCGUCAAGAUCUUCAUUUUGAUAUAAAGAGCGUUGAAAAUAGUAAAGAAAUGAGGAAGUUAUGGCGAUUAAAAAUUCCCCAAAAACCGGCGACUUUUCCGUCGCCGGCGAAACCAGUCCGGCGACUGGAGGAAGAAGGUGAUGCGCGUGGGGGCGUGUGCAGCCUCGAAAAAAAUUUCUAAAAAUACCUCGACGUCUGUAACGUCGAGUAGGUCACUGUGGUAUAUUCAUAUACCCAAAUUGAGCAUCGUAUGAGAAGUUAUUACGAAUUGUCGGUUAUGUGCUUUAAUUAACGUUUUUAUAGUUGUUUCGCAUAUAGGUGAUACCUAUCCCGAGGACGAGCGCAUCCAGGGACGUCACGGGGGUUACGACCCUUCGACUUACCAGUGAGUGAGCAGUUAUUUUCUGUUAUUACCUAUAUACUAUCAAUUUUCCCAAAAAUUGAAUUUAAAUAAGAGUAUGUUUUUAAAAUGCCAUGCAUGCAUAUUAUGAAUUAUAUGAAUUAGUAAUUGAGGCAUAUAUAUGUGAAAUGGUGCUGUGGACGCACAGGUGAGUAUCAGGUGAGUUAUAUUGUUUAUAUGAUUUAUUGAUGAUGUGAAUUGUGUUGAGAGCUCAUAACCUGCACCCUGGUGUUAGUGCUUAUAUUAUUCACCCCGCACCACACGCUCACCUUGGAUCCAAGUAGGUGCAUGUCGUACAGACCAUUAAAGGGUUCCGACAUGUCGUACAGACCAUAGAGUGGUUCCGACUGUAGGCGAUUUUAGAUUAUUAUACAACUGUUGAUGAGAGAAGCACUAGAGCGUAUU